rnacentral:tRNA from 1 species
GCCGACGUAGCUCAGUUGGUAGAGCAAUCGAUUCGUAAUCGAUAGGUCGCAGGUUCGACUCCUGCCGUCGGCA